rnacentral:rRNA from 1 species
UACGGAGGAUCCAAGCGUUAUCCGGAUUUAUUGGGUUUAAAGGGUGCGUAGGCGGCCUAUUAAGUCAGUGGUGAAAUCUUUCGGCUCAACCGGAAGCUUGCCCUUGAUACUGAUGGGCUUGAUUACACUUGAGGUAGGCGGAAUGUGACAAGUAGCGGUGAAAUGCAUAGAUAUGUCACAGAACACCAAUUGCGAAGGCAGCUUACUAAGGUGUCAAUGACGCUGAGGCACGAAAGCGUGGGGAUCAAACAGGAUUAGAUACCCUGGUAGUCCACGCCCUAAACGAUGAAUACUCGAUGUUAGCGAUAUACAGUUAGCGUCAAAGCGAAAGCGUUAAGUAUUCCACCUGGGGAGUACGCCCGCAAGGGUG